rnacentral:rRNA from 1 species
CCUACGGGAGACAGCAGUGGGGAAUAUUGCACAAUGGGGGAAACCCUGAUGCAGCGACGCCGCGUGAGUGAAGAAGUAAUUCGUUAUGUAAAGCUCUAUCAGCAGGGAAGAAAAUGACGGUACCUGAGUAAGAAGCCCCGACUAACUACGUGCCAGCAGCCGCGGUCAUACGUAGGGGGCAAGCGUUAUCCGGAUUUACUGGGUGUAAAGGGAGCGUAGACGGCAGUGCAAGUCUGGAGUGAAAGGCGGGGGCUCAACCCCCGGACUGCUCUGGAAACUGUACGGCUGGAGUGCAGGAGAGGUAAGUGGAAUUCCUAGUGUAGCGGUGAAAUGCGUAGAUAUUAGGAGGAACACCAGUGGCGAAGGCGGCUUACUGGACUGUAACUGACGUUGAGGCUCGAAAGCGUGGGGAGCAAACAGGAUUAGAUACCCGAGUAGUC